GAUGAACGCUGGCGGCGUGCUUAACACAUGCAAGUCGAACGGAAAGGCAUCAGCUUGCUGGGGUACUCGAGUGGCGAACGGGUGAGUAACUCGUGGGGGAUCUGCCCUGCACUUUGGGAUAAGCUUGGGAAAGUGGGUCUAAUACCGAAUAUGACCACUUCUUGGAUGUUGUGGUGGUAAGCUUCUGGGGUGUGGGAUGAGCCUGCGGCCUAUCAGCUUGUUGGUGGGGUAAUGGCCUACCAAGGCGGCGACGGCGUAUCCGGCCCGGGGGGGUGUACGGACACAUUGGGACUGAGAUACGGCCCAGACUCCUACGGGAGGCAGCAGUGGGGAAUAUUGCACAAUGGGCGCAAGCCUGAUGCAGCGACGCCGCGUGGGGGAUGAAGGCCUUCGGGUUGUAAACUCCUUUCGCUAUCGACGAAGCCACUUGUGGUGACGGUAGGUAGAUAAGAAGCACCGGCUAACUACGUGCCAGCCGCCGCCGUAA
rnacentral:rRNA from 1 species